UACGAGGGGGGCAAGCGUUGUUCGGAAUUAUUGGGCGUAAAGGGUGCGUAGGCGGUUUGUCGCGUCUGCUGUGAAAACUCGGGGCUUAACCCCGGGCCUGCAGUGGGUACGGGCAGACUAGAGUGCGGUAGGGGAGACUGGAAUUCCUGGUGUAGCGGUGAAAUGCGCAGAUAUCAGGAGGAACACCGGUGGCGAAGGCGGGUCUCUGGACCAGCACUGACACUGAGGCACGAAAGCGUGGGGAGCAAACAGG
rnacentral:rRNA from 1 species